GACGAACGCUGGCGGCGUGCUUAACACAUGCAAGUCGAACGGAAAGGCCCUGCUUUUGUGGGGUGCUCGAGUGGCGAACGGGUGAGUAACACGUGAGUAACCUGCCCUUGACUUUGGGAUAACUUCAGGAAACUGGGGCUAAUACCGGAUAGGAGCUCCUGCUGCAUGGUGGGGGUUGGAAAGUUUCGGCGGUUGGGGAUGGACUCGCGGCUUAUCCGCUUGUUGGUGGGGUAGUUGCUUACCAAGGCUUUGACGGGUAGCCGGCCUGAGAGGGUGAACGGCCACAUGGGGACUGAGAUACGGAGCAGACUCCUACGGGAGGCAGUAGGGGGGAGUAUGGCACAGUGGGCGGAAGCCUGAGGCAGAAACGCCGCGUGCGGGAUGACGGCCUUCGGGUUGUAAACCGCUUUCGCCUGUGACGAAGCGGGAGUGACGGUAAUGGGUAAAGAAGCACCGGCUAACUACGUG
rnacentral:rRNA from 1 species